UACGUAGGGGGCAAGCGUUGUCCGGAAUCAUUGGGCGUAAAGCGCGUGUAGGCGGCCCGGUAAGUCCGCUGUGAAAGUCCAGGGCUCAACCCUGGGGAGGGUCACUCGAUACUGAUCGACUCGAAGGCAGGAGAGGGUAGUGGAAUUCCCGGUGUAGUGGUGAAAUGCGUAGAUAUCGGGAGGAACACCAGUGGCGAAGGCGACUACCUGGCCUGUUCUUGACGCUGAGGCGCGAAAGCUAGGGGAGCAAACGGG
rnacentral:rRNA from 1 species